rnacentral:sRNA from 1 species
GUUUUUUUGUGAAGGUAGGGAUGUUUAGCUCAGGAGAGCUGAUUUAUAAGAAGAAGACACGCUUACUGAAGGCCUCCAGUGGAAGAGUAAAAUGGGGAGAAACUAUGAUUUUUCCACUCAUACAGACUGAAAAAGAAAUUGUUUUCCUUAUUAAACUUUACAGUCGGAGCUCUGUAAGAAGAAAACAUUUUGUAGGCCAGGUUUGCCAAGCAGAACUUGAACUGGGGACUUGUUUUCAAGCAGUAAAUAGCAGGAUUCAGCUGCAAAUCCUCGAGGCACAAUACCUUCCAAGUUCAUCAACACCUCUGGCUUUGA